AUUGAACGCUGGCGGAAUGCUUUACACAUGCAAGUCGAACGGUAGAGGGGGCAACCCCUUGAGAGUGGCGAACGGGUGAGUAAUAUAUCGGAACGUGCCCAGUCAUGGGGGAUAACGUAGCGAAAGUUACGCUAAUACCGCAUACGAUCUAAGGAUGAAAGCGGGGGAUCGCAAGACCUCGCGCGACUGGAGCGGCCGAUAUCAGAUUAGGUAGUUGGUAGGGUAAAGGCCUACCAAGCCAACGAUCUGUAGCUGGUCUGAGAGGACGACCAGCCACACUGGAACUGAGACACGGUCCAGACUCCUACGGGAGGCAGCAGUGGGGAAUUUUGGACAAUGGGCGAAAGCCUGAUCCAGCCAUUCCGCGUGCAGGAUGAAGGCCCUCGGGUUGUAAACUGCUUUUGUACAGAACGAAAAGGUUUCUAUUAAUACUAGGAGCUCAUGACGGUACUGUAAGAAUAAGCACCGGCUAACUACGUGCC
rnacentral:rRNA from 1 species